AUUGUACGCUCGUGGCCUUGACGGGUACGGAGAAUUGGGGUUCGAUUCCGGAGAGGAAGCCUGAGAGACGGCUACCACAUCCAAGGAAGGCAGCAGCCGCGUAAAUUACCCAUUCCUAAUUCAGGGAGGUAGUGACAAGCCCUAACAAUGCUUCUGGCCCUCGUGGUCAGGCACUUGGAAUGAGCGCAAUGUAAAGCUCUUCGCAAGGAUCAACUGGAGGGAAAGUCUGGUGCCAGCAGCCGCGGUAAUACCAGCUCCAGUAGCGUAUGUAAAAGUUGCUGCAGUUAAAAAGCUCGUAGUUGAAUGUCUGGGUGCGCGCUGAGGCCUGCGUGAUGCAGCGCUCUCGUCGCGCACCCACCCCUUUUGGGCGGCGUUGGGUUGGGUGGCUUCGGCUCCCUUCCCUGUUUAUACAAAGCCCAUCGUUUACUGUGAAAAAAUCAGAGUGUUCAAAGCAGGCUAUCGCUUGGAUACAUUAGCAUGGAAUAAUGAGAUAGGACUUCGGUCUAUUUUGUUGGUUGCGGACUGAAGUAAUGAUUAAGAGGGACGGUUGGGGGCACUCGUAUCACUGCGUCAGGGGUGAAAUCCUAGGAUCUCAGUGCGACGAACAACUGCGAAAGCAUUUGCCAAGGACGUUCCCAUUAAUCAAGAACGAAAGUCAGGGAAGCCAAGGGGAUCAGAUACCCCCGUAGUCUUGACCAUAAACGUUGCCGACUCAGGAUGGGCAGACGUCUCUUUCGACUCUGUCCGCACUGUAUGAGAAAUCAAAGUCUUUGGGUUCCGGGGGGAGUAUGGUCGCAAGGCUGAAACUUAAAAGAAUUGACGGAAGGGCACACCAGGAGUGGAGCCUGCGGCUCAAUUUGACACAACACGGGGAAACUUACCAGGUCCAGACAUAGUGAGGAUUGACAGAUUGAGAGCUCUUUCUUGAUUCUAUGGGUGGUGGUGCAUGGCCGUUCUUAGUUGGUGGAGUGAUUUGUCUGGUUGAUUCCGUUAACGAACGAGACCUCCGCCUACUAACUAGCCAGGGGGUGUACGCACCUCGCUGGCUUCUUAGAGGGACUACGGGCGUUUAGCUCGUGGAAGUUGGAGGCAAUAACAGGUCUGUGAUGCCCUUAGAUGUUCUGGGCCGCACGCGCGCUACACUGACUGGUUCAACGAGUUUCUCUCCUUGGCUUCGACAGGCCUGGGCAAUCUUUGAACGCCAGUCGUGAUGGGGACAGAUUCUUGCAAUUUUUGAUCUCGAACGAGGAAUUCCUAGUAAACGCAAGUCACCAACUUGCAUUGAUUACGUCCCUGCCCUUUGUACACACCGCCCGUCGCACCUACCGAUUGAAUGGUCCGGUGAAGCCUCCGGAUCAGUUCGUUCCCUGCCUCGUGCUGGGGGAUGCGCAGAGAAGUUGGCUGAACCUUACCAUUUAGAGGAAGGUGAAGUCGUAACAAGGUU
rnacentral:rRNA from 1 species